UUUUUUUUUUUUUUUUUGGUGAAAUUCCUUUUCCUGGCUCAUCCUGGCUCAAAAGCUCCCCGCUGAGCACCUUGUGACCCCCACUCCUGCCCGCCAGAGAACAACCCCUCUUUGACUGUAAUUUUCCUUUAUCUAUCCAAAUCCUAUAACACGGCCCCACACUUACCUCCCUUCCCUGACUCUCUUUGGACUCAGCCCGCCUGCACCCAGGUGAAAUAAACAGCCAUGUUGCGCUCACAAAGCCUGUUUGAUGGUCUCUUCACACGGGCGUGCAUGACAAUAGUUAAGGGGAUACUGAAGUGUUUGGCAGCUCCAAGAACUUUUUCAGUUUGUGUCGGGACAUUUUAGGCAGAAGGAAAAGCUUGCUUAGAGAAUCUUAUAGAAAUGUUUGGAGCAGUGCCAUUAACUCGUGGAAUAAAUGUGUAACUUUCCGUGGAGGCCCUCUGGGAAGAGCUUCACUUUGAGUGCACCCUGGUCUGCUCGCUACAAGAAUCGGCCGUGUCAUCCCGCUUUCCGUGGGUCUGCAGGUGUGCGUGGUCCAUUGCCCUGCACUGUGGCCAUGGAAGGGAAGAUGAUCUGGAAUGUUGGCGACAGUUAUCGGUGUGUGUUGGUGUGUGCUGCUUUCUACAGGGGAGAACAUUUCUGUUUAAUAAACAUCUCAUCAGGAUGAUGACUGGAAGAUAUUUGAGUCUCAUUCAAUAGUGUUUCGGGGUUCCUUCUGUUUUAAUCUGCUUUCUAGCACUAGGCAAGUGAAGACAUGGAAAGUAAAAACCCAUCGAACUUGUGGAGACAUGGUGUUGUGUAGGAGCAGACUGUAGCCUCUGGCUCUGUUUAAAGAUUGUAGUAAACCUCUUACCUGGCAUGGUCAGGGUGUAAGUUAUCUUGUUUAAUCGAAAUGUGUAUGAGUCAAAGCUGGCGCCUGCAUUGUUGAUGAAAUACCAGAUGUUAAGGGAACAUGUCAAUCUGCCGUAAGAUACCAACAAAGUUCCUCAUUGAUGUUCGGUGCGGGUUCGGAGGAGCUGGGCCUUAGGUCACCGGGGUCGUCUCUGGGAGCAGAUGCUCAGUGUGGGCAUUAGUCACUUAGCCUUUCCAGAGCCGAGAAACAGCUCUCUGUGGUGGUUUUUGGAACCUGCAUUUUGAGUCAGUUUGUCCCACUUGACUCGAAGUUGCCGCGCAGUUUCAGACCUUUGCCUCCACCGCCGUUUUCUUGUCCUCUGAUAAGUGCCUCAGUUGCCCCGGCCUGACAUUUGAGCCUCGUCGUUCAUGGACACAGACUCCGUGGUGGGGCAAAGGCCGCGACUCCGGCUUGCACAGUUCCGUGCCUCUCACCAUGGCUUAUCACAUCACUCCCGGGAUCUCCCGUUUAGAGGAAGAGUGUCCCUUUCCUGCAGGCCCUGUGUGGUGUGGAAACCACCCCUACCUACCUUUCUCCCGUUUGAACUGUACCGUGAAGCUAUUUCUGUCCUAGCCAACCGUCAGAAUUUAAGGAACAGUAAUUUAUGUAACUUAUUACACGCUUCUCAGCAGUUCUUUAUGAAUUUCAUUCUGUUGUGAAAUUAUUGCAGUUUUCACGGCUAUGCUGGUCUCAGGUUGUGGCCCUUGAAAUGAAUUGCCUUCCCCAUUGUGUGUUAAGGUUGUGCCUGGGAGCGGUUGAGGCCUCACCUCUGCUUGGGGAGUUGGCUUUGCUCUCCUGACAAGAGAAAGAAUCUUUUUUAGAACAUUUCUAAUGUGGUUUUUGCUUCCAGACAGAAUUACUUUUUUCACAGAGACAGCCACUCAAGUCAUAAAUUAUGCUCAGGAUGGACACACGGGUCAGCUGGCAGAGUGGAGUCCAGAACAGACCCAAAGACGCAAAAGCAGUUCAGUGGAAUUUGAGUCUUUUCAACAAAUGGUGCUGGAAUUAUGGGACAGCCGUAUGAAAAGAGUGAAAACAGGGAGAAAUUCCUGUAUGAAAAUUAAGGUGGACCAUAGCCCUGCAUG
rnacentral:lncRNA from 1 species